ACUAACAAGGAAAAAAUAAAUGUGUUAUCACGAAGGAAUGUGAGCUAAACGCACAUAUGGUCUACUUGCAUGCGUCGCAUAGCACGUAAUAAAUGUACGUUUAGGGGUGAUAGGCUUUUCAAACGUUCCUAUAACUUGUUUCAUAUGAAAAGUAUUAAGUACCUAAACAAAUUUAAAAAGUUAAGCUUUUAAAUAACUAUUAAAGAUAUUAUCCCCUUGUAGUGUAGUUUAAUAGCUAUCUACAUAAUAACUUAAUAUAAAGUAUAAUAGUUUAUAUUUUAUAAUAUGACGUUAACAAUUUUGUUUAAUAUUUGAAAAUGUUAGUAUUAGUAAUAUUAGUAUAUGUGCUAAAGGAACUCGGCAAAAAACCACUCAACUGUUUAUCAAAAACAUAGCUAUAUGAAUUAAUAUAUAGUUAUUUCUGCUCAAUGAUUUAAAUAGCCGCAGUACUCUGACUGUGCAAAGGUAGCAUAAUCAGUUGGCUUUUAAUUAGAGUCUGGUAUGAACGAAAAUAUGGGUAGUAACUGUCUUAGCGCAUUUUUUCGAACUUAUUAAACAAGUGCAAAUGCUUGUAAUUUAACAAUAGACGAGAAGACCCUAGAAACUUGUCCAAGUUUUGUUGGGGCGACAGAAUUACACUUAACUAAUCUUAUAAUACACGACGCGAUGUUGAAAGAAUAAGUUACUCUAGGGAUAACAGCAUAAUUUCAUUAGUUUGUGACCUCGAUGUUGGACUAGGUACUAUACCCUUAAGGCAAGGAUAUAUUAUGCUCUGUUCGAGCAAAAUUACCUACAUGAUCUGAGUUCAGACCGG
rnacentral:rRNA from 1 species